rnacentral:misc_RNA from 1 species
CAGUAAACUACUGUAGACCUGAUGUCUUGGAUUAAAACCUUGGAGAUGGAAGUUUGGCCUAGAAAUAGGUUGGCUGCUCCUCCUUGUGGCCCAUAACCCGGGAAUCCUGCAUCGCCCCACCCUUGUAAACAUGAAUUAAACGUAACCUCGGUAGGUUUGCCUACCGGUGGAAGCAUUAAACUCUUUUAUAAAUAAGCUGCAAAUAAGAUUUUAAAUAGUCUGAAAAUAAUAUUAAUUAUUUUA